CUGGACUCCUGGUUCAACCCCACUUGAUAAAAUAUAUGUUGCUGGAAAGGUCUGAAAGCUGUAGGAGUAUUCAGAGUGUUGUCUGAACCAGAAUUUAUGACUUCAUUUGACUGAUUUCAUCCUUGAGUGUGCAUUCAGAACUGAGCAGCUUGCUCAGAUACAGAAUUCCCUUAUUGAUCCAUUCUGUGUUUAAACUAUGUCUUUGUGUUUAUUUCUAGAAAAAGUCAGAGAUGUGCUGCUAUCCUACAAGAAUGAGCAGCUUCGGGUUAUGCAGACUGCACAAUCUGUUUCAAAGAAUCGAGAGCAGUGGUCCGAUACCUCUUCAGAAGUGGACUGGAUUCUGGCUCAGAUCAAAGACCUGAUGCAAGAGAACAGGUACGUCUGAUAAGGAGCUGAGGUGAAAGGUAUAGUGCAGAGCUGGGCCUGUAGACCUUCAGAUUUCUUCAAAAUUGUAGGGUGAUACUGGGCCUCUUCUCUGCUUUCUAUCCUUCUAUGACUACAAGGGCCUCUAUGACCCAGUGUGCUGAGACAUUAUUAUUACUAUAUAAAUUUACAUGAAGAUCCUCUCCCACUCCAAGAAAUGUAAUAAGUUUAACUCUGCAGAGGGGAGAGAAUCCCAUGUUACAGAUAUGAGCUAUAACUCCUGGUGUUUUGAAUAUAAAUAUGUACAUGCCAUACAAGCUGCUGAUUAGUUUAAGAGGUUAUCAGAUGUUGUGCCAGAAGAAAACCCUGAGGAAGAGACUUGCGCCUUAGUGGCAUUACCCAUUAGUUGCUGAGCAUGGAGUAAUGAGCAAGAAGGCAUAAAGAUUCUGUAAUGAGAAUCAUAUCUUACUAAACAUGGGACUUAUACAUUACUUAAACUGUAUGUUGCUAGAUGGUUGGAAGGUACUGGUAGAAGCAAGCCAUUGCAUCUACCUCUGAUUCUGGUACUCACUCCCUAGGCAUCCUCUGUUAACCACUCAGAACAUAAAUGGACCAAGUGCUGCUGGUUUUAUGUAUAAAUAGGUAUUUGCACCUCCCAUCAGCUAUGUGGUAGAAGGAGUUGGGGCAGCUUUGUUUUUGAAACCCUUGGAACAGAUGGCAUAUUUGAGAAUACAGACACUUGGAAUACCCAUCCAGUUCCCAGGGCUCUGCAAUGCUUGUUCUUUACUGCUAGCACAAAACCAUGCUAAUGUUUUUCCCUCUAAGUAAUCUCAAGUGUCUAUCUUAAGCACGUCAGACUACAUGUAUUUCAUGAGUGAUUCUUAAAAGAACUCAUUAGGCUGAAUUCACCAUCUCAACAGUGCCAAAACUAUUAGAAUGGACAGCAAGUGAGUGGGAUGGGUUGUUGAUUAAACCUUUGUUACUGUGCUGGCUUUG
rnacentral:lncRNA from 14 species